UAAGCAAAUACAACUACAAACAUUUUAGGAAUAAAGAAAAUUUUUACAGUACACAGUAUUUUAUAAAAAAUACCUCUUAUCCCAUAACCGCAAGGGCCAACAUUUUAGCCUCUUAAAGAAGUGAUAACCUCACAUCCCUUUUGCAUCAUGGAGAAGCAACAAAACCUUAGCAAGCUAAACUCCCGAACGAUUAUGAGCUACUAAUUCUUAAAAAUCAAUGUUUCAUAAUUGAUAAAGUAACCUUUAGUAGAAGUAACAAGCCUUUCAUAUAAUCAUAUAGCUGGUUUUUCUUUAAAAGCAUCAAAGUGCUGUCUUAUAGUACGAGUGUCACACCCCUAAUACUAUAAAGUUUAGCUUACUGAGGAUAAGCUCAGUAAGCACACAAAAAUAUUUCUCUCUUUAACUUUUUAAGUAGGCUUAAAAGCAGCCACCCCAUAACGUUCUAGUUACAACGCUCAAACACUAAAUAUUUAUACACAUUAUUUUAACCCUAAAGAAAUUUAUCACAAAACGCCACAUGUUAGUAAACAGGCAUUCUAUUAGUAUUAACAUAACCACCUUUCAUAGUCUUAAAAUAAAUUUGAGACACAACAUUUUUAUUAUUUAAAACUAUACAAAGCGAACUCGGCAAAUAAAUUCCCUGCCUGUUUACCAAAAACAUCGUCUUUUGAACCUUCCUGAUAAAAGAUAAUGCCUGCCCAGUGAGAUUUUAAACGGCCGCGUUAGCGUGAGCGUGCUAAGGUAGCGUAAUAAUUAGCCUUUUAAUUGGAGGCCAGUGAAAGGCAAGACUAGGAAAAUUGCCAGUGAAAGGCAAGACUAGGAAAAGCUGUACUUUGUAUAUAAAAAGAACUUUUCAUCUAAGUGAAAAGACUUAGAUAACAAAAGAAGACGAAAAGACCCCGCGGAACUUUACCUUUUCUUAUAUUUCCGUCUACGUACUCAAAAACAUAUAAGGUUUGAUUGGGGCAAUCUUGGAACCAAUAAAGCUUCCAUAUCUCCUACAAAAAUUUAUUUAAAAUUCAUUAAGGACUAAAAAGUAGUUACCCCGGGGAUAACAGCGUCAAUCCAACUUAAGAGUACACAUCGAAAGUUGGGUUUGCGACCUCGAUGUUGGCUUAAGGACAUCCACAUAAGUGCAACCGCUAUGACAGGACAGUCUGUUCGACUAUUAUACCCUUACAUGAGCUGAGUUAAGACCGGCGCAAGCUAGGUUGGUUUCUAUCUCCUUUAUUUCAACCCAUUUCUUGAUUGUACGAAAGGACCCCAAGAAAUGCAUUUAACAAAAGCAUUUACUGAACAUUUAUCAUAUCUAACCCUAAUCACUAU
rnacentral:rRNA from 1 species